GCGGGUGUAAAAUGGCGUAGAGGAGGAUGUAGCGCGUUGGGGCAAGGGGAGUACCUGGCGAAGGGCUCCUGCCGCCAGCUAGGUAAGACCAUGCAUCCUUUGCUGCUGCUACUGUAUAAACGAGAUGAGCCUCAAAACAUGGAAUUUUAGCACAUCCACUGAGUUUCCCAAAGGAACUAGACAAGAUGCGAAGUGAGUAAUAGGUGUCGAGUCAUACAGCCUCUCCAAGCACCCUAAGAAAUCAAAAUCCGAGGCCCUGUGGAGCUACCAGCCUGGAGUGAUGGAGACUGAGAGGCCAUGGAUAAGUCUGCUGAGGUCAGUAGGAACCUGGGGAAUCAGUAGGAAUCAGAGUGCCAUCCCUCGUCCCUCCGCUCAGAGAAGACUAAUUGGAGAGUCCGCUUCCAGUGCCAGAGAUACAGGCGGUGGACACGGCCAGGGCUAAAUUGGCCCCUUUCAAUAUGCAUUCCCUAUCCUCUUCCCCUUCCAAAAACACUACUGCGCCCUUUCCGCACUCAUGACAAUGUCAGCCAGCAAAAUCAUCUUGUUUCCUCCCUCAACAGUAUCAAUCGUGUAAUAACUGAUUACAGAGUUCAUUUUCAGAGGUGAAAUGGAGCACUUUGAACAUCAGAUGUUGGCUGUAGGUGAUAACUGCUUGAACCAAUUGAACCAUUUUUACCCUUUUCUGUGAAGCACUGCCAGUCAGCACUGAAUGGACUGCAGUGAACAUAAUUUCAGAAAGUCUGACGAACUUGAGCGCUAAAGUCAUAGAGGCUCCCCUUUCUCUGUGAAAUGAUUAUUAUUUUCCUAACCAUAUUAGCUUUGCAGACAUGUAGAGACAGAUUUAACCUGGCAGCAUACUCCUUGUCCUUCCAAGGAGGAUCACCCAUUACCCAACAGGCAUGCCAGCCCAGCCAUUCACAGUCACAAGACAAGGUGCUGGUUGUAGAAAUGCUCACGACCACGGUUGUCAUUAUUUAUUUGUAUGUUAUUUGUAUGUGACUCAUAAAAUGCUGGUUUUUAAGUCUGAGUAGUGUAGAAGUAGACUACUCAAACUUGGGGCAACUUAAUCCUCUCAUUCCCUAAUUGUGUCUUGGAGAGAAAAUGCUAUAGAACCCAUCCUGUCUAAUAAGACCGGACACUGGCCUCUGAGAGUAAAUGAGAAUAGAGGCUGUUUGAGAACAAGGAAACUCUAAACAUGUCUCUGUCUUAGUCAGUUUUGCACUGUCAGUUCUGAUUUGGUGUGUGAAGGUAGACAAGCACAUUCGUAUUUACUGUUGGGUGUUUCAUCCAUUGCCUGCUAUGUUAAUCCCAACCCAUGUGUCUAACAUAAGGAGUAUGCAUUGGAUGAAAAGUUACCCAAGAUGGUUCUAAUUUUUAGGACAUUUUAGUAUACAUAAAAACCCAUAACGUCUUUAAAUUCAAGGCUGUAGUGGCAGGAGUGGUUACUUUUUACCAUUUUACCUGUGUUAAGUGUAUCCUGCACUUGUGCAUUCGAUCACUUCACCAACACUGGACCAGCUCCAGAAGCAGCAUUCUGGUUUUUUUCCUUAAAAUGGAUUUGUGCAAUACAUUAUUUCUUCCUUAACCCCUGUUGCUAUUAUAAAUAUGUAUAAAAUAUAAUUGUGAAACAAGUGACAAGUUGUUUAAAAACAACAAAAUCACCAACGUCUUCCAUUAAGAGAUGUAUAGUCCCAUGCGCAUUAGCUUACUAGCAGGACAGUAGUGCCAACAUUAUAACUGGCCAUGCAUGAGAGGUAGUGAUGCAUGCUGAAUAAAAUAAUAAUAGUAAUAAUAUUUUUUAAUUGUAAAAAGUGAAAAUAUAGCGACUCCCCUCUGACUGAGCAUAGUUACUAACCAGGAUGCAGCAUCCUUUCUUACAACAGUCUGAGACUAGAUUUCUAGGAGUGAUUUCACAAAUCUGUAGUUUUAAACCUUGAGCAGGUUACUUAAAUUCACAAUAGGACGUGUAAGAUCUAUGCCAAGGGAAAUGCGGCUUUUGUUUGUGUGUUCAUCUUGUGUUCCACUGUAGUUCCUUAAAGGAUGUGGACACACAGUAGCCCCCUAGCAUCUAUCUGUAGAAAGAUACAACACUUCUAAUGUGAUUUAUAUAAAGCCAAAAUGUAUCAUUGUCAUACAUUGUUUUUAUGUUUCAAACAUUUUUUUGUAUAGUAUGUAGCUAACAAUAUAAUUUUGUAAUGUUUAUAUACUGUGUAACCCCCUCCAUGCCUUCGCAUGCAUAAUAAUUCAAUGUAGAAACAUGCUGAGUUUAGUGAAGAACCAUCUGUGGUUUUGAGAGGAGCCGAUGUAGACUGAGCGGAAUCCCCAAGCCCUUCUCACUCAGCAUAAGUUUGCAAGUGUGAGAUAACGCAGCAGCGCAGUUUUGAAAGCAAAAAGCUAGUGGAGGAUAUGAGAGGACAUCUCUGAGACACAUUUGUAAGUUACUUAGUACUGUCUAAGAGGGGAAGGUAUGCUAGUUUUUAAGUCCUCAGCUCUUCCCCUCCUGGCAUGCCAAGAAAGCAGCAGCUAAAACAACAUUUAGUUUCACCUCUUGUGCAUCAAAGAUGACCCAUUCCUGUUUGCCAUAUACACCACACCUUCUAAUCUCUAAUGAUGAUGUAUACAGACAAUUGAAGUGGUGUGUGGGAAAAUAUUAGUCAUUUUUAAUUACAUCAAACUUAGCAGAGAUGUUCAGUUAUAAAGCAGAGUGAGCUGUGAUAUGUUGUCAACAAGUGGUGACUCUCCUUGUCAACUGAGACACAUCUGUGUUGAUUUGUUAUGCUCCUCUCAGAGCACUUCUGUUUUACCCAGAAUGCUUUACUGAAGGCAGAGGACUGUGUUCCACAGUUUGUCUUAACCUGUUGGAAAUGUGAAAGUUUUAUUCCAAGAAACAGGAGUCUCAGACAUGAUAGGGGAUGUGUCUCCUGUGUUGGCAUAUUGCUAAUGUUAGACUGUGGGCAAACAGUAGUUUCAAAUUAGUAUCAUAGUAUUAGGUAGAGUGUAGAAUAGUCCUGAGGUUAUGGAGUAAAUAAAAAUUACCCAGUAUAUUGUAAUAUAGACAAAUACCUCAAGGUUUGGAAUGCAGAAUAUCUUGAUAGAAUAUCUCCAAUGCAAACUAAGCCAUAAUAUACAUAUAUAUUUAUUUAGAUCUUUAGCAGCAAUAACAAUGUUAUGCAUGGUUUUAGUGCCAGGGUGAUUGUUGUUUCUGUGGAGUGGCAACUCUUAGCAAACUGUAGCUGUGGUUGAAAUUUUGUAGGGAGGCAACUGUAUUAUGUAUAUCUGGCUUUAGAAUACACUGGGGUAAGGAGUACUUGGUGAUGGCAUAGGGGAUUACAUCUGUAUGUGCCAAUUUUUAAUAAACAUACUCUUGAACUGUCCCUUGACAGGCUGCAUUGUGCUGGUGUAUGAUCUAGCACAAUGAUUUAAUUGUAAUCUAAAUAUCAACAUAGAUCUUGGAAUAUGGAUCAGAAAAAAAUCUUCAGUUAAUAUUUUUAUCUGUAAGCUGUUUGUAUGGUGUGGAUUUACUGAUUUUUGCUAAUCUUGAAAUGUCUCAUCUGUGUAUUGCAUAUAAUCAAAGGAAAGAGGAGUGUAUUGUGAGUAUAUAAUACUUGCAUUGAGAGUCUGUAACGAUACACAGCAGAAGUUGCCAUCAAACUGCAACUUGGCAUUCUAGGAACAUGAAUAUAGGCAGAACAGUUUACCCUAUGUUUCAUGCAUGUUUACAUACUAAAUGUUGUUUAGCUGUUUAAAUGUAAUCAAUCUCACACACACACACACACACACAUAUACAUAUAUAUACAUAUGUAUGUACAUGCGUACAUACAU